CGGCCGCGGUAAUUUGACCGUGCUAAGGUAGCAUAAUCAUUUGUCUUUUAAUUGGAGACUGGAAUGAAAGGUGAAACGAGAAAUAAGCUGUCUUUAAAAAAUAAAUUGAAUUUUAUUUUUUAGUGAAAAAGCUAAAAUGUUUUUGUGGGACGAUAAGACCCUAUAGAUCUUUAUUAUAAAAUGAUAUUUAAUUAUUAUUAUGUAAUUUUAUUGGGGCGAUAAAAAGAAAAAAUAAUCUCUUUAAAUUUUAAUAUACAGAUUAGUAAAUAUUAAUUAAUGAUCCUAAUUGAUGGAUUAAUAGAAUAAGUUACCUUAGGGAUAACAGCGUAAUAAUUUUUGAGAGUUCUUAUCGAAGAAAUUGUUUGCGACCUCGAUGUU
rnacentral:rRNA from 1 species